GCCUAUCCAUUAGCUGGGCCUAGAUAUAUAUAUAUAGAGAGAGAGAGAGAGAACGUUAAAAACAAAACUGGAACAGCGCUGCUUCAUUCUCUGAACUUUCUGCAUUUGGGCUGGGAAAUCUAUUUCCGAACGGCGAACGAAAGCCAACAAAUCCAUGGGCCGCAAAGCUAUUCCUGCUUGCGCUUUCUUAAAGUAUAGCGAACUUUUCACAUUGUGUGUUUAAAAUAAGCUGCAGAAUGACCAUGGGCGAGAAGACCGCAAUCUCUCGCAAAAGGGGACCGUGCGCGUUUAACAGGCCGAGAUAGGGUAAUGUCCCUUUAAAAGGGAGGUGGAUUAGCAGUGUGUCCCAGCCUUGGUCGCAGCGUCGCGGUUCACGAGUCAAGUUCAAGCCGGCGGCUCUCCCGAGCUGCUCGGCCAUUACCGCUAUGAUCACACACACUUGGCUCCCCGCUUGAACUUGGACUCGAAAUGUACGUCGCCAAUGCACACGUAUACAGAUCACGCACAAAUUCAUUUCAGCUGGCUGCUCACAUAUGGGAAAUCUGCCAAGCUCAGCGCUUUUGCUUUCUGUCUCUCUCUUCCCCCCUCCCGCCCCAUCCCCUCCCCUUUAAACACCACAAAAUCUUGGCACAAACCCGAUCGCAUAAGCAACAGAGAGAAGCACAGACACACCGGAACCAACACACAGCCCGAGCAAGACGGUGCAUUAAAAUAUACGUACCAUUGCCAUGUGAAAUCGUGUAAGGAAGUACUGCAGCAUUCGUGAGGCACAGCACGUACCAUUGUAUACGUUAAUAUCUCCACAGCCUGGGCUAAUUUCACCUUGUAGUGAAGACCUAUCCAACAUCAGAAUCGCUACCUGGCCAUUUUGAAGCUGAAUCAACUGCAAGUAAGCAGGGGGACAACUUGAGAUAGCCAUCUACCUAAUAGGAAACCCAACGUGGCACCAGAGAACAUGCAGCCAAAAGAUGUCUAUGGAUCUAAAUUCAAUAGUUAUCUGGCAAAGUCAUGAAUGAACCCAUGGAAAGUCACACCUGUAAAAUGUCAGCCGUCCAGAGAAUUCACACAUUAUUUAAGGAUGGACAAAUACAAAAGACUAUGGAGUUUCGAGACUGUCUGCCUCCAUGUUUCAUACUGGACAUGAGGGAAGAUUGAAACUUAAUUUGUGAAGCUGCUUGAACAGCUGCGCACUUCCAGUAUUUUCUGGUUUUAUUUCAAGAUUUCCAGCAUCCGCAACUUUCUGCUUUUGUACUACUGUUUCAAGUGAUAACAUUCACUCUUCGUAUUUACAAUAUUUGGACCGUUAUUUGACGAUGCUAAUACUUAAUAUACACAAGAUUCGUUUUAUUCUCAGUCUUAACCGCCAAUUAAAUAUUAAGAGAAUGGUUUAGAAUUGAAGCAGACUAUUAUUUGAGGACCUUGUCUUAAACUCUCAAUUGGACUCAAACAAUUGGCAUGAUCAUUUACACUAUUAAAUAGGAAUUCGCCUCCAUAGGAUUUUGCAUCUUGUUUUUCUCCCACACCUGAUUUGACAGUGUAGUGUUCCCUAAGCUUUUGUAAAAGUGUCAGCUAAUUAAAAAAUUGGAGCAAGUUACAGUGGUAAAUUGGAACUGGCGUUACAGUAUUGUGAUACGAAGCAGGAUUUCUUACACAUUAACACUGGCAGCUGUUCGUUAAUACAGUAUUGCCUAUCCGACUGGAAUCAUUCAAAUAGCUAUACGACAAAGUACAAAUAAACACAAACACAGGGAAGGCUUUUAUAGAUUGAACACUCCUGUGUCACAACUUGCAGGCGUAUGUUGGUUUUUCCAAUAGAAAUUCGCCGUGCAGAUGGGACUGUGGAAUAAAUAUGCAACAUGACUUCUUUUUAAAUUAUAACUACGUGGCUUUGCUACACAUGCUGAAUGUGUUGGAGCAGAGAUGACCGACAGCAUUACAGACAGGUCACCGAAACAAAGGCAACACAAUAUUACACACAAACUCUCCUCACUCCAGCACUGUGCACACUUUUGUCUAAUGGCUGGCCCGAUUAACCUGCCAGUGAUAAAGCUUCAACAAAACUAGACAGCACGUCUGCGCUCGGCUGCAGACCUCAGGGGUAAGAGGAGAUUGCCAGCAGACAGGAAUGAAUUAUUCACCGAGAUAUCUACCUCUUCGAGACUGCGAGAGCGAGAUGGAAAUUUCACCAGCUUAAAGUUUUCACUCCGUACAGAUUUCCCCAAACUCUUCUCACAGCCGCGGAAACACGACUUUUUAUGUCGUUUAGACGCAACACCAAAGGGAAUAAAUCCUUCGUUUAUGCUUAAAAACCCGCUAAGAACAUAUUUCUUUAGUAAGUGUUAAGUGUCU